AAAGCGAAUAGUGAAAUCUGGCGGCUCAACCGUACAGGCUAUUAUUCGAACUCACUAACUCGAGAGUGGUAGAGGUUACUGGAAUUUCUAGUGUAGGAGUGAAAUCCGUAGAUAUAAGAAGGAACACCGAUGGCGUAGGCAGGUGACUGGACCAUUUCUGACGCUGAGGCACGAAAGCGUGGGGAGCAAACAGGAUUAGAUACCCUGGUAGUCCACGCCCUAAACGAUGCGAACUG
rnacentral:rRNA from 1 species